GCGACGCCAUGUCUACCGUUGUCACUACUGAAGAUCUAGUUUUGACCGGCCAUCAUUCCAUCAACGACGCCUUCAUCGGAGCUCCUACGCGCUCUUAGCGCCUUUUAAAGUUAUGGAUUUGCUCCCUUUUUUUGUCGUGCAUUGUGGCAUGUCUAGUAGGAAUUCAAAGCGUCGAAGUUGCUCGUUUUCCUCUUUCAGGUUUAUCGUUGCGUUGUCGCAUGUCUC
rnacentral:lncRNA from 1 species